UGUCCAGCUGCUUUUAGACUACAGUUCCCAUCAUCCCUGACCACAAUGGUCUUGAUACCUAGGAAUGAUGGGAGUUGUAGUCCAAAAACAGCUGGAGA